GCGCACGUGGCGGAAUGGUAGACGCGCUACCUUGAGGUGGUAGUACCUAUAUUUUUUGGUGUGGAGGUUCAACUCCUCUCGUGCGCACCA
rnacentral:tRNA from 1 species